rnacentral:rRNA from 1 species
GAUGAACGCUGGCGGCGUGCCUAAUACAUGCAAGUCGAGCGAACAGAUGAGGAGCUUGCUCCUCUGACGUUAGCGGCGGACGGGUGAGUAACACGUGGAUAACCUACCUAUAAGACUGGGAUAACUUCGGGAAACCGGAUCUAAUACCGGAUAAUAUAGUGAACCGCAUGGUUCAAUAGUGAAAGACGGUUUUGCUGUCACUUAUAGAUGGAUCCGCGCCGCAUUAGCUAGUUGGUAAGGUAACGGCUUACCAAGGCAACGAUGCGUAGCCGACCUGAGAGGGUGAUCAGCCACACUGGAACUGAGACACGGUCCAGACUCCUACGGGAGGCAGCAGUAGGGAAUCUUCCGCAAUGGGCGAAAGCCUGACGGAGCCACGCCGCGUGAGUGAUGAAGGUCUUCGGAUCGUAAAACUCUGUUAUUAGGGAAGAACAAAUGUGUAAGUAAAUAUGCACGUCUUGACGGUACCUACUCAGAAAGCCACGGCUAACUACGUG